UUCCGGUUGAUCCUGCCGGACCCCACUGCUAUCGGGAUAGGACUAAGACAUGCAAGUCAAGCGCUUUCUAGCUAAUGUGAGAGCGCGGCGUACAGCUCAGUAACACGUGGCCAACCUGCCCUUGGGACGGGAACACCCCCGGGAAACUGGGGUUAAUUCCCGAUAGGUGAAGAAGUCUGGAAUGACUCUUCGCUCAAAAGACGUUUAUGUCAUGCUCAUAUUCGUCGCCCAGGGAUGGGGCCGCGACCGAUCAGGUUGUUGGUGAGGCAAUGGCUCACCAAGCCUUUUACCGGUGCGGGCCGUGAGAGCGGGAGCCCGGAGAUGGGCACUGAGACAAAGGCCCAGGCCCCACGGGGCGCAGCAGUCGCGAAAAUUUUGCAAUACACGAAAGUGUGACAGAGCUAUCCCGAGUGCCAUCCGCUGAGGAAGGCUUUUUACCCAGUAUAAAUAGCUGGGAGAAUAAGGAGAG
rnacentral:rRNA from 1 species